CCCCUCUCAGGAUGGCAUCUGGAGAGUUUCCAGUCCUCUACCAGCCUCGGCUACGGGAGAGAGAGUCAAGCAGAGGCCUGUCCAUCCCAUUCCUAGCUUGGGCAGUGGCUAGCGAGCGGAAGGCCAUCUGCUACAAGU
rnacentral:snoRNA from 1 species